rnacentral:rRNA from 1 species
UUUGGCCUACGGGACGCAGCAGUGGGGAAUAUUGCACAAUGGGGGAAACCCUGAUGCAGCAACGCCGCGUGAGUGAUGACGGCCUUCGGGUUGUAAAGCUCUGUCUUCAGGGACGAUAAUGACGGUACCUGAGGAGGAAGCCACGGCUAACUACGUGCCAGCAGCCGCGGUAAUACGUAGGUGGCGAGCGUUGUCCGGAUUUACUGGGCGUAAAGGGAGCGUAGGCGGAUUUUUAA